AAUUCGAGAAUAAUGAAAUUGAAGGGGAGAGGAGGAGGAGAGGAAAUUCGAGAAUAAUGAAAUUGAAGGGGAGAGGAGGAGAUCGAUUUCAAAACCUAGAGUGACCAUUGCGGUAUCCGGUUCCAUCAUCGACAACGCUCGAUCCCUCGAGAUUGCCACUAGAUUGGCUGGUCAAAUUGCUCGUGCAGCAACCAUAUUCCGAAUUGACGAGGUAGUGGUAUUCGACAGUAGAAGGAGUUCGGUGACUGACUCGGAUGUUGCGGCAGCGAACAAUUCUGAUGAUGAGCAAAGUGGCGCUGCUUUUCUUAUAAGGAAUCAUGAACUUGAAGUAUCUUGAGACUCCACAAUACUUGAGAAAAGCUCUUUUCCCAAAGCACAACAAUCUAAGAUUUGUGGGGAUGUUGCCACCGCUUGAUGCUCCUCACCAUUUGCGCAACCAUGAAUGGGGUCCAUAUCGAGAAGACCUCAUUUUGUCAUGUUAAACUUGGGUGUUACCCUCACACUCAAAGAACAGCUCCGAAUGCUAGAGUAACACCCAGUUGAUGUUGGUCUGAGUAAGAUUUCAGCAGAUUAGAUUUGAAUGUUCAACUUCAGACCAUGAUUGUUAGAAACUGCAAAAUUCAUGAGCUCUCCUGGAGUCGGUUUCCCACAUGGCUUGAACUUGGCAGUUGAUUCAUUAGCGCCCAUGGUUCAUUUUUUAUUGUAACAAAAGGCUUAAAAAGAUAGUACGUCCUGCCCCUCAGUGUUGUAAUUUUAAUUGUCAUGGAAAUUGGGGCCGCUUAAAUUCAUGUUUGUGUGAUUUUCUAGGCCUUCUGAAUAUGGACAAGAUUUAAAUACACAUCAAAUAUUGUAUUUGGGAGAUCUAAUGUGUAUUUUCUCAUCAAAUAUAGUAUAUUUGUUCA